rnacentral:rRNA from 1 species
GCUUAAUAAAUGGAAGUGAGGAGGACAUUA